UGGGGUGGAGCUCAGUGGUAGAGGGCAUGCUUAGCAUGCAUGAGGCCAUGGGUUCGAUCCCCAGCACUGCAA
rnacentral:tRNA from 2 species